rnacentral:lncRNA from 1 species
CUGCUCCUAUGGGCUUCCCACACCCCAUUAUUUUCUCUUUACAAAGGAUUUGUGCCCGCACUGCUUCCCCCCGCCCCGCCUCCUUUCCCAGCCCCACUUCACCCAUACCAAAGAGGAGCAGGACUUGCUGUUGGAAGACAGGAUUUGAGGUCCACUCCCAGUUUCAUGGCCUGCUUUUUUUGUCCCAUUAUAAUCAUUUAGUCCACAAAUGUCCACUGAGCACCUUCUGUGUGCCACUCUGAGUGUUCAGGCCUGUUAGUUGUGCCGGGAAGGGAGCAUCACCCAGGAGCCUUCCAAAGGCACUCAUGGACCUCUUGAACUCUGUCCAAGGACCCCUUGAAGACUUGAAGGCUGUGGGUUAAUAAUCCCUGGUUCGAUGCUUCUUUAAGCAGUCUCUCACACAUUUUGUGAACUGAAGGAAGUGAAACCUCACUCAAGGAGCCAGGCUCGAUAAAGAAGGGCUGAGUCCAUCACAGGAAUCUCAGGGGGAAAAAAUCUGCAAACCACAGACUGGGGAGCUGAGUCUCAGUUCCAGAGCAGAGUUGCCAGCCUGGAGAAGCUGUAAGAGACCCUGAUGCCAGUAGGUGGAGCGAGCGAGCGGUCACCAAGGACAAACGGCAGCGCGGUCACUUCAUUUUCUUUUGCUUGGAGCACGCGACUGGACUGGCCUUACCAAGACCACGUGUGACUCCUCCGAAAGAUGUUUGAGGGUCUCACUAAUGGUAUAUUUUCUGACAAAUGGAGAGAUGUGGGCUAAGCCCAAAUUAGUUGCAUUCAGAACAUUUAAAAAAUAGAUAAUUGGCCAUUCUCAUAUCUUAUCAAAUUGUACGACAC